rnacentral:rRNA from 1 species
CCCUUAGAUGUCCUGGGCCGCACGCGCGCUACACUGAUGCAUGCAACGAGUUUAUAACCUUGGCCUGAAAGGUCUGGGUAAUCUUUUGAACGUGCAUCGUGAUAGGGAUAGAUUAUUGCAAUUGUUAAUCUUGAACGAGGAAUUCCUAGUAAACGCGAGUCAUCAGCUCGCAUUGAUUACGUCCCUGCCCUUUGUACACACCGCCCGUCGCACCUACCGAUUGAAUGGUUCGGUGAAGAUCUCGGACUUCGAUAUUUAUUCUUUAUUGAGUUUGUAUUGUGGGAAGUUAUCUAAACCUCAUCAUUUAGAGGAAGGUGAAGUCGUAACA